CCUACGGGAGGCAGCAGUAGGGAAUAUUGCUCAAUGGGGGAAACCCUGAAGCAGCAACGCCGCGUGGAGGAUGAAGGUUUUCGGAUUGUAAACUCCUUUUGGUAGAGAAGAUAAUGACGGUAUCUAACGAAUAAGCACCGGCUAACUCCGUGCCAGCAGCCGCGGGAAUACGGAGGGUGCAAGCGUUACUCGCAAUCACUGGGCGUAAAGAGCGCGUAGGCGGGAUAGCAAGUCAGAUGUGAAAUCCUAUGGCUUAACCAUAGAACUGCAUUUGAAACUGUUAUGCUAGAGUAUGGGAGAGGUAGGUGGAAUUCUUGGUGUAGGAGUAAAAUCCGUAGAGAUCAAGAGGAAUACUCAUUGCGAAGGCGACCAGCUAGAACAUAACUGACGCUGAUGCGCGAAAGCGUGGGGAGCAAACAGGAUUAGAUACCCCUGUAGUC
rnacentral:rRNA from 1 species